rnacentral:misc_RNA from 1 species
UUUCCGUAGGUGAACCUGCGGAAGGAUCAUUCAUAAUAAGUGUUUUAUGGCACUUUUUUAAAUCCAUAUCCACCUUGUGUGCAAUGUCAGGGUUGAUUUUUCUCUCGAGAGGAUCAACCCCAAACAUCAACUAUAUCUCAACUCUUUGUCUGAAAAAUAUUAUGAAUAAAACAAUUCAAAAUACAACUUUCAACAACGGAUCUCUUGGCUCUU